rnacentral:rRNA from 1 species
AUACAGGAAGAAACGUACCCUCGUGAGGGUGCCUGACGGUACUGUAGGAAUAAGCACCGGCUAACUCCGUGCCAGCAGCCGCGGUAAUACGGAGGGUGCGAGCGUUAUCCGGAUUUAUUGGGUUUAAAGGGUCCGUAGGCGGAUUAAUAAGUCAGUGGUGAAAUCCCAUCGCUUAACGAUGGAACUGCCAUUGAUACUGUUAGUCUUGAAUGAGGGUGCAGUGGUUGGAAUGUGUAGUGUAGCGGUGAAAUGCAUAGAUAUUACACAGAACACCGAUUGCGAAGGCAGAUCACUAACCCUAAAUUGACGCUGAGGGACGAAAGCGUGGGGAGCGAACAGGAUUAGAUACCCUGGUAG